rnacentral:rRNA from 1 species
UACGUAGGGUGCGAGCGUUAAUCGGAAUUACUGGGCGUAAAGCGUGCGCAGGCGGUCUGUUAAGACCGAUGUGAAAUCCCCGGGCUUAACCUGGGAACUGCAUUGGUGACUGGCAGGCUUUGAGUGUGGCAGAGGGAGGUAGAAUUCCACGUGUAGCAGUGAAAUGCGUAGAGAUGUGGAGGAAUACCGAUGGCGAAGGCAGCCUCCUGGGCCAACACUGACGCUCAUGCACAAA